GAAAUGUGAUAAGUAGUGUGAAUUGCAGAAUUCAGUGAAUCAUCGAAUCUUUGAACGCACAUUGCGCCCUUUGGCAUUCCGAAGGGCAUACCUGUUCGAGCGUCAGUUGCACAACUCAAGCACAGCUUGGUGUUGGGCGUCUGUCCCGCCUCCGCGCGCGGACUCGCCCCAAAUUCAUUGGCAGCGGUCUUUGCCUCCUCUCGCGCAGCACAUUGCGCUUCUCGAGGUGUCGCGGCCCGCGUCCAGAAAAGCAAUCGUUACCGUCUUUGACCUCGGAUCAGGUAGGGAUACCCGCUGAACUUAAGC
rnacentral:misc_RNA from 1 species